rnacentral:lncRNA from 1 species
UAACUGAGAGAACAGGGUGAAAUUUUAUAUUCGUUUCCUGUGACUGGUGUAACAACUUACUACAAAGAUGGUGACUGUUUUUUUCUCUCACAUCUCUGAAGGUCAGAAAUCCAAAAUCAAGGUGUGGGCAAGGCCAUGAUCCCUCUGGAAGCUCUAAGGGAGAAUCUGUUUUUUGCCUUUUCCAGUUUCUGGUGGUCGCUGGACACUGUUUCUAAGCUUGUGACUGUAUGGCUCAAAUCUCUGCCUGCCUCUUCACAUGGUCAUCUCUUUUUCUGUAUGUCUCAUCUUCAUUUGCCUCUCUCUUACAGGGACACUUGUAAUGGCAUUUAGGGACCACUCGGAAAAUGAAGGAUUUUCUCUUCAUUUUAAAAUGCUUUAGGGAGUUCCUGUUGUGGCUCAGGGUUGAAGAACCUGACUAGUAUCCAUGAGGGUGCAGGUUCGAUCCCUGGCCUCUAUCAGAGCAUUAAGGAUCCAGCGUUGCUCUGAGAUGUGGUGUAGGUCGCAGACUCGGCUUGAAUCUUGUGGUGCCGUGGCUGUGGCAUAGGCUAGCAGAUGACAGGUCUGAUUUAACCUCUAGCCUGGGAAGUUACAUAUGCUUCAGGUGCAGUCCCCCAAAAAUAUUAAAAAAUAAAUAAAAUGCUUUAUUCAGUAGAUAUCUGCAAAGACUCUUCUGAAUAGGGCAACUUACACCAAUUUCAGGGAUUUGCUGUGGAUAUCUUUUGUGCACCAUUUUUUGGCCUAACAUGUUUAUUCUUUAUUGUAUUUUAAUUCAUUAUUGGUAAUUAAUAUAUAAGAUCAAUCUGCUGGCCCCGGCAGGCUGAGAGGAUAGGAUUCAGGAUACUGAACUUUGAAUUUAGGUGUGGGGAUGGGGUAGGGAGCAAAAGGUCUAGAGUGUCAACUUUUUUAGGGAAGGCUGGUUUGGGUGGGGCAGCUCAGUGAGAGACCCUGGAUGGUCAGGAAGCAGCACACAGGACUCUGGGCACAUGAUGUGGAGGAGAGAGUAUAGAAAGGGCAAGAAAGGGGUGAUGAGCCAAGAUUUAACUUCUGUUUGUUUUUAGUACACUGAAUGUGAAUGGUCCUCACCCUUCAAACUCUCUAUAUGUAUAAGGAAAUGGGCACUCUCAAACAUUGCUGGUAAGACUGGUGGAGUUUGUAAAAUACUUUUGGAGGAUAAUUCUACAUAUACAUCAUACACUUCUAUCCAGUUAUUUACCUUUAAGAAUCCAUUUUAAGGAAAUAAUCAGAACACAGGAAUAUUUGUGCACAAAGACAUUCCUUAAAUACUUUUUUAUGGUACUCUUUUAUUUUUUUAUUUUUUAUUAUUUUUUAGUUUUUCUUAGACUGAGACAGAGAUGGGGCACACAGAUAGAACAUUUCCAAAUUCUUUCUAUUGUUUUCUUUAAAAAAAUUUUUUUAUGGCCACACCCAUGGCAUAUGGAAGUUCCCCAGCCAGGGGUUGAAUCCCAGCUGCAGCUUCAACCUAUGUCACAGCUGUGGCAAUGCUUGAAUCAUUUAACCUACUGUGCCAGGCCAGGGAUCAAACCUGCACCUCCAUAGCAACCCGGGUCACUAGCAGUCAGAUUAUUUUUUUAUAUUUUAUUUUAUUUUACUAUUUUAUUUUAUUUUUUGCUUUUUAGGGCCGUACCAGUGGCAUAUGGAAGUUCCCAGGCUAGGGGUUGAGUCAGAGAUGCAGCUGCUGGCCACAGCCACAGCAACGCAGGAUCCUAGCCACGUCUGCCAGGUCCUUAACCCACUGACUGAGGGCAGGAAUUAAACCUAUGUCCUCAUGGAUACUAGUCAGAUUCAUUUCCGCUGUACCACAAUGGGAACUCCGGCAGUCAGAUUCUUAACCCAUGGUGUUACAGCAGGAACUCUUCUAUAGCUUUCUUAUUAUUUGUAAAAAUGCAUAAUCGCGUCCUAAUAGGCCUGACAAUAGCUCUGGCCUUCGUCAUGUUUUGUGAUGAAACAUUUGCCAGAAAUCAAUUUGAUCCAUUUAGUGGGGCAAAUGGACACAGCUUUCCUGUUCCUGUUUUCCUUUUUUUUUUUUUUUUUUUUUUGCCUUGAGCUCAGAUUUUAAUUUUUAAGUUUUUUUAAUUUAAUUUUAAUUUUUUGCUUUUUACAGCCACACCCAUGGCAUAUGGAAGUUCCCAGGCUAGAGGGCCAAAUCGGAGCUACAGUUGCUGGCCUACACCACAGCUACAGCAACACCAGGUCCAACACAAGGUCUGCAAUCUACAUCACAGCUCACAGCAAUGCCGGAUCCUUAACCCACUGAGUGAGGCCAGGGAUCCUCAUGGAUACUAGUCAGAUUUGUUCCCACUGAGCCACAAUGGGAACUCUGAGCUCAGAUUUUUAAAAACAUGUAUUUUAAAAAUCAAGUAUAGCUUUUUCCAAUUGUCAUUUAAGUUACCAUUGAAUAGAAUCUUAGGAAACAAGAUUAUUUUUUUUGUCUUUUUGCCUUUUUCUAGGGCUGCUCCUGUAGCACAUGGAGGUUCCCAGGCUAGGGGUCUAAUCUGAGCUGCAGCUGUCGGCCUGCGCCAGAGCCACAGCAACACAGGAUCUGAGCCGCAUCUGCAACCUACACCACAGCUAACGGCAACGCCGGAUCCUUAACCCACUGAGCAAGGCCAGGGAUCAAACCUGCAACCUCAUGGUUCCUAGUUGGAUUCGUUAACCACUGAGCCACAACGGGAACUACGAAAAUUUUCAAAUAAACAACCCAAACUUACACCUAAAACAACUAGAAAAAGAACAAACAAAACCCAAAGUUGGUAGAAGGUAAGAAAUCAUACAGAUCAGAGGAGAAAAUGAAAUAGAGAUGAAAGAAACAAUAAAUAUCAGUAAAACUAAAAGCCCAUUUUUGAAACAAUCAACAAAAUCGAUAAACCCUUAGACCAUCAAGAAAAAAGGGACAGGUCUCAAAUCAAUAAAAUUAGAAAUGAAAAAGGGGAAAUUUCAAAUGACACCACAGAGAUACAAAGGAUCAUAAGAGACUACUAGAAGCAACUAUAUGCCAAUAAUGUCGAAAACCUAGAGGAAACUGACAAACUCUUACAAAGGUACAACCUACCAAGACUGAACCAGGAAGAAAUAAAAAAUAUGAAUGUCUAUUCACAAGUACUGAAAUUGAAACUGUGAUUUAAAAACUUCCAAAAAACAAAAGUCCAGGACCAGAUGGCUUCACAGGUGAAUUCUAUCAAACAUUCAGAGAAGAGGUAACAUUUAUUCUUCUGAAACUCUUCCAAAAAAUUGCAGAGGAAGGAACACUAGUAAGCUCAUUCUAUGAGGCUACCAUCACACCGAUGCCAAAACCAGACAAGAAUACCACAUAAAAAGAAAAUUACUGGUCAAUAUCACAGAUGAACACAGAUGCAAAAAUCCUCAAAAAAUAUUACCAAACUGAAUCCAACAAUAUAUUAAAAGCAUACAACAUGAUCAAGUGGGAUUUAUCCCAGGGAUGCAAGGAUUCUUCAACAUUCACAAGUCACAAAUCAAUCAGUGUGAUAUACCACAUCAACGAACUGAAGAAUAAAAACCAUAUAACCAUCUCAAUCGAUGUAGAAAAGGCUUCUGACAAAAUUCAAUAACUAUUUUUGAUUAAAAAAACACUCCAGAAAGUGCGCAUAUAUGGAAUCUUCCUCAACAUAAUAACGGCCAUAUAUGACAAACCCACAGCUAACAUUAUUCUCAACAGUGAAAACCUGAAACCAUUUCCGCUAAGAUCAGGAAGAAGAUAAGGAUGUCCACUUUCACCACUGUUGUUCAAAGUAGUUUUGCAAAUCCUAGCCAGGGCAAUCAAAGGAGAAGAAAUACAAGGAAUUCAAAUUGGAAAAGAAGUAAAACUGGCACUGUUUGUAGAUGACAUGGUACUAUACAUAGAAAAUCCUAAAGAUGAUACCAGAAAACGGUUAGAGCUCACCAAUGAAUCUGGCAAAGUUCCAGGAUACAAAAUUAAUAUAUGGAAAUCUCUUGCAUUCCUAUACACUAACAAUGAAAAA